UACGGGGGGAGCAAGCGUUGUUCGGAUUUACUGGGCGUAAAGGGCGCGUAGGCGGUCAGCACAGGUCAGUUGUGAAAUCUCCGGGCUUAACUCGGAAAGGUCAACUGAUACUGUGCGACUAGAGUGCAGAAGGGGCAACUGGAAUUCUCGGUGUAGCGGUGAAAUGCGUAGAUAUCGAGAGGAACACCUGCGGCGAAGGCGGGUUGCUGGGCUGACACUGACGCUGAGGCGCGAAAGCCAGGGGAGCGAACGGG
rnacentral:rRNA from 1 species